rnacentral:rRNA from 1 species
AGUGAACGCUGGCGGUAGGCCUAACACAUGCAAGUCGAACGGCAGCACAGUAAGAGCUUGCUCUUACGGGUGGCGAGUGGCGGACGGGUGAGGAAUACAUCGGAAUCUACUUUUUCGUGGGGGAUAACGUAGGGAAACUUACGCUAAUACCGCAUACGACCUACGGGUGAAAGCAGGGGAUCUUCGGACCUUGCGCGAUUGAAUGAGCCGAUGUCGGAUUAGCUAGUUGGAGGGGUAAAGGCCCACCAAGGCGACGAUCCGUAGCUGGUCUGAGAGGAUGAGCAGCCACACUGGAACUGAGACACGGUCCAGACUCCUACGGGAGGCAGCAGUGGGGAAUAUUGGACAAUGGGCGCAAGCCUGAUCCAGCCAUACCGCGUGGGUGAAGAAGGCCUUCGGGUUGUAAAGCCCUUUUGUUGGGAAAGAAAAGCAGCAGGUUAAUACCCCGCUGUUCUGACGGUACCCAAAGAAUAAGCACCGGCUAACUUCGUG